rnacentral:rRNA from 1 species
CCUACGGGAGGCAGCAGCCGCGGUAAUACGGGAGAUGCAAGCGUUAUCCGGAAUUAUUGGGCGUAAAGCGUUCGUAGGCGGUUCAACAAGUCUGUUGUCAAAGGUCGCAGCUUAACUGCGGAAAGGCAAUGGAAACUGUGGAGCUAGAGUGUGGUAGGGGUAAGGGGAAUUCCCAGUGUAGCGGUGAAAUGCGUAGAUAUUGGGAAGAACACCAGCGGCGAAAGCGCCUUACUGGGCCACAACUGACGCUGAGGGACGAAAGCUAGGGGAGCGAAAGGGAUUAGAUACCCCUGUAGUCCUAGCCGUAAACGAUGGACACUAGGUGUUGUCUGUAUCGACCCGGACAGUGCCGUAGCCAACGCGUUAAGUGUCCCGCCUGGGGAGUACGCACGCAAGUGUGAAACUCAAAUGAAUUGACGG